AUGCUUGUAAAUUCACAUUCUAUCAUAUGAACUUAAAAUCCUAUAUCCGGAUUAAGGAAAUUCUUAACUUACAUGCAUUCGGCUUAUUAUCAUAUUCUAAUUAUUUGACCCGUUCGUGCAUUUAUCAUCAUAAUCUGUUUAUUUGACCUCAGUCUCAUAUAAACUUAAUAAUUUCAUUGACGCCUAUCAUAAAAGAUUUAAUUCCCGGAUGCCUUGCAUCCUCUUAACCCAUUUUCGCUUAAAAGCUCAUUUUUGACCCGUUUGGAUAUUUGUGCAUUAAAUGGUCUAUAACAUAACAGAACCAUACUCUUCGCUUUCACACAUGACCAACACAUUAUUCUAGUCGGUUCACUUGUUUCCAAUCGACAUUCAAGGUCGUUUGCCCGAUAUACCUAUCCAGGGGCGUUUUUGUCAAUUUCGCUCUAUCCUUAACAACAAAGGAAUUCCUUACACAAGUAACGAAUUCUCCUACUUAACUAAAAUUCUUAAUCAUACAUACAUUGCUCGGAUAAAAGCUAAGAUCCAUUUAAUACUCAUUGACAUCAUACAAUUCAUUCCUAAUUGACCUCAAUUAUCACAUUUAAUUAAAAUGCAUAUAACUUUACAUAAACAACUAAGAAGUGAUUACGGAAUCACUUACCUCAUGCAUCCGUGUUCCCAUUCGUUCCUCGCCACUUCUUGACCCGUUAGCCUUUCGUGCCUGAUUCCGUCUCGACAUGAUUCCUAUUCUUCCAUGUCAUCGAAAUCACGCUAUCAUUAGCAUACUUAUUUGUACAUGAUAACAAUCUCGUGUCCGUAUACGUUUAACUCAUGUAACUCAUCAUGUCAUUACAAUUAACACGGAUUGCUAUUACAUGUACCAUACGACUUCUCAUCAACCUACAUUUACGACAACGAGUCAACUCAUGUUUCUUAUACUUAGUUGACUUUCAAAAGUCAACUAUCAACCAUACAUAACUAUCGACUUAUCAACAUAUUCCCGUAACAUCAUAAUCGACUAUACGGACGACACUAUAUACAUUUUAUCAUUCACUUGAUGUACGUACUACCUUUUAAGCAUAACGUACAACUUAUUCAUACACAAUCUUCUAAAUUCAUACAUAGUUCAUCAAAUGCUUCUACAAUCCAACAUGGGGUAUUUAAAUUAAACAUCAAACAUGUUAUCAUCACAUUUUAUUCACUUCAUCUAACAACAAUUCAUCAUUUCUUAUCCCAUAUCUUUAAACAUUCACACACGUGUAUGAUUCCAAACAUUAUUAACAUAAGUGAAUCAUCAAUUUACAUUACAUCAUCUAAAACCCACUUCAUAACUACUUGUUAAUCACUUACAAGUGAUCUAAUCUUAAGUUCUUCAUAAUUCAUCUUACUUUUGAUAUAUGUACUACCUUGUAAGCAUAGUGUACAACUAGUUCAUGCAUAUCAUUCUAAUCUCGUACACAAUUCAUCAAUUUCUUCCCCCUAAUCAACAUGAUUCAUACAUGCAUAAACAUCAAACAUACUAGUAUCACAUUUCUUUCAAUUCUUCUAACAAGAAUAAAUCAUACAACUCAAAAUACAUCAAUAUUAAGCAAGAACUUAGACAUAGAUGAUUUACCCAUGUCAUCAUCUUCACCAUAACAAACGGGUUUCACCCUUAAACAUCAAAUUAACCUAAUUCAUGCAUAUCCCAUGUUCCAAAUGAUGAUUCUAACACAUACUCAUACUCAAUUUCACACAAAUUCGUGAUUUACAUCAUAACCCGCUUCAUGGAUAAUCACCAAACUAGCUUUUAGAACAUACCUUGCGAUCCCCAUGAAGAGGUGAUCAUUAAUCCGUGUUUAUUCGUGAAUUUAGACCUUGAUUUGCCCUUCAAUUUGAUGAUCCUUCAUGUUUAGGGUUUUGAGCUCUUAUGGAGCUCCUGCUCUUCUAGAACACACGUACGUGUGUGUGUAUUUGUGUGUGUUUUUCAUAAAUAAUAUUCAACUUUCAUUUUACCCUAUUUUAGUCCCUCAAGUUUGCCACUAGAUAAUAUUGGCACAACUAUCAUCCUUUAAUUACUUUUUACCAUAUUCCUAACUAGGUUAAAUAACCUAGUCACUUAUUUCUUGAUGUACCAUAUCGUAACAUUUAACGAAUAUAAAAAUUCGGUUUUGGGGUG
rnacentral:lncRNA from 1 species